AGCGUGCAGAGGAGAGGUCCAGACAAGGCAAAGUAACAAGACUUAACGCGAUUUACCUGAGGAAACUGAGAAGGCAUUGUCAACGUACGAAGUCUGAGAGAAAGCAAAGCAGGAGACAAGCUGAAGAGAGACUUUUAUCCAGACACCGCGGAGCUCUAGCUUGGGCGCGUGCCUGAGGGCACGUUGUCACUGCGGAUGCAGGGUGGUGUGGAAGUACACAAACCUGUUGCAGCCACCACACAGCGAGCAGAAGGGCCUCUGCGCCUGACAAUUCAGCUCCUAGGACAAUUGCCGCUGGCCUGAACUGCUGAGUUUCCCAACCUGAGCAGGUUGCUGUAAGAAAAGCUUUAAUGGAAACUAAACUAGUGAUUGAUGGAGGUCACCCGUAACAGGU